UUGCUAUUCAGCACUCAUGGCUCAAGCGGGCGACUUCACAUUGAAUAUUCAACAAAAGUUGAAAAUUUUAUACAUUCUAGAAAGAUGUUCAUACAAUGGCGUUAGAAUUGGCGACUUAUGUUUCAUCCAAAAGUCACUCAUUAUCCAUUUUUUUCUUGAGAAUGCAUCAACCAUAUUGUUGUUGGUUGUUAAUUUACGUUCAUUGCAAGAUGGUUCCUACAAAGGAUGAUGGACUUACAGCGCGCUCGCUACUAACUACUGCUGAGUUUUGCUCAAUAAAGAGAUUAUUUAUUUCACGAUUGGAACUGUUAGAAUUAUGGAAUGAUUUUGA